rnacentral:tRNA from 1 species
GUGGUCUAGUGGUAGAAUAGUACCCUGCCACGGUACAGACCCGGGUUCGUUUCCCGACUGGUGCA